GGUAGCUUGCUACCUGACCUAGCGGCGGACGGGUGAGUAAUGCUUAGGAAUCUGCCUAUUAGUGGGGGACAACAUUCCGAAAGGAAUGCUAAUACCGCAUACGCCCUACGGGGGAAAGCAGGGGAUCUUCGGACCUUGCGCUAAUAGAUGAGCCUAAGUCAGAUUAGCUAGUUGGUGGGGUAAAGGCCUACCAAGGCGACGAUCUGUAGCGGGUCUGAGAGGAUGAUCCGCCACACUGGGACUGAGACACGGCCCAGACUCCUACGGGAGGCAGCAGUGGGGAAUAUUGGACAAUGGGCGAAAGCCUGAUCCAGCCAUGCCGCGUGUGUGAAGAAGGCCUUUUGGUUGUAAAGCACUUUAAGCGAGGAGGAGGCUACUUGGAUUAAUACUCUAGGAUAGUGGACGUUACUCGCAGAAUAAGCACCGGCUAACUCUGUGCCAGCAGCCGCGGUAAUACAGAGGGUGCGAGCGUUAAUCGGAUUUACUGGGCGUAAAGCGUGCGUAGGCGGCUUUUUAAGUCGGAUGUGAAAUCCCUGAGCUUAACUUAGGAAUUGCAUUCGAUACUGGGAAGCUAGAGUAUGGGAGAGGAUGGUAGAAUUCCAGGUGUAGCGGUGAAAUGCGUAGAGAUCUGGAGGAAUACCGAUGGCGAAGGCAGCCAUCUGGCCUAAUACUGACGCUGAGGUACGAAAGCAUGGGGAGCAAACAGGAUUAGAUACCCUGGUAGUCCAUGCCGUAAACGAUGUCUACUAGCCGUUGGGGCCUUUGAGGCUUUAGUGGCGCAGCUAACGCGAUAAGUAGACCGCCUGGGGAGUACGGUCGCAAGACUAAAACUCAAAUGAAUUGACGGGGGCCCGCACAAGCGGUGGAGCAUGUGGUUUAAUUCGAUGCAACGCGAAGAACCUUACCUGGUCUUGACAUAGUAAGAACUUUCCAGAGAUGGAUUGGUGCCUUCGGGAACUUACAUACAGGUGCUGCAUGGCUGUCGUCAGCUCGUGUCGUGAGAUGUUGGGUUAAGUCCCGCAACGAGCGCAACCCUUUUCCUUAUUUGCCAGCGGGUUAAGCCGGGAACUUUAAGGAUACUGCCAGUGACAAACUGGAGGAAGGCGGGGACGACGUCAAGUCAUCAUGGCCCUUACGACCAGGGCUACACACGUGCUACAAUGGUCGGUACAAAGGGUUGCUACCUAGCGAUAGGAUGCUAAUCUCAAAAAGCCGAUCGUAGUCCGGAUUGGAGUCUGCAACUCGACUCCAUGAAGUCG
rnacentral:rRNA from 1 species